AUGAACAAAGUCGACGGGCAUGGAACCGCACCUGGCGUUAAAACAUACUCAUCGUGCUCAAUCCAUGCAUUAGCUUCUUGCACGUCGACGGCGAGAACAAUGGCGGCAAUGCGGUGGUUGCCAUUUCUCUGCCUCGCGGUUGCUGCCGCUGGCAGCAUGCUACAUCAAGCUCGUGCCCAGGCUGACAGCAAAGGUUUCAUAAGCAUAGACUGCGGAUAUGCGGGGGAGAUGUACAUAGAAAGCGAUACUAGGCAACAGCUGCAGUUCGCCCCGGAUGUCGGCUUCACCACUGCUGGCUCCAACCACGACAUCUCCGUCGAGUACAUGAGCACGGUGGCCUUUAAGCUAUUCAAGACGGUGCGCAGCUUCCCCGAUGGUAAGCGUAACUGCUACAAGAUCCGGUCCCUGGUGCCCGGGCUCAAGUACCUCAUCCGCGCGUGGUUCUUGUAUGGCAACUACGACGGCCUUAACACAACACCCAUCUUUGACCUCUACAUCGGCGCCAACUUCUGGACGACCAUGAACAUGUCACGGGCGGCACCGGACCAGUUUUUAUUCGCGGAGGCCAUGGUGGUCGUGCCGAACGACUACGUGCAUGUCUGCCUGGUGAACACCGGCGCCGGGACGCCGUUCAUCACGGGGCUGGAGCUCAGGCCGCUUAAGAGCAUGCUCUAUCCAGAUGCGAGCGCGAAGCAGGGCCUGAACCUGCACAGCAGGUUUGACCUCGGCACAGGGAGCAAAACACGUGUGAUAAGAUACCCUGAUGACCCACAUGACCGAAUAUGGAGACCAGUGGAUACCACAGCGGAAUAA
rnacentral:rRNA from 1 species